rnacentral:rRNA from 1 species
GACGUAGGGCGCGAGCGUUGUCCGGAUUUAUUGGGCGUAAAGAGCUCGUAGGCGGCUUGUUGCGUCGACCGUGAAAACCCGGGGCUCAACUUCGGGCUUGCGGUCGAUACGGGCGGGCUAGAGUUCGGUAGGGGGAGACUGGAAUUCCUGGUGUAGCGGUGAAAUGCGCAGAUAUCAGGAGGAACACCGGUGGCGAAGGCGGGUCUCUGGACAGUUCCUGACACUGAGGCACGAAGGCCAGGGGAGCAAACGGGG